UCAGUCAUGUGCACCCAUUCCCCAUAUAAUUUCUUCAUGAAGGAAGACUGUGUCUAAUAUGUCUCUUUCCACCUUCAAAAGAACUUUCUUUUGCCUUUGCAACAUUCUCCAGAUGAAAAGCACUGAGGAUGAAGGUGCACUGACUGGGAAUUUCAGUUUCUUUUUCCUGCAAGGUAGUUGGAAGAGUUGAAGAGGAGCGCCUUGGCCAAAGCUCAGGUGAUGAUACCGG